UACGUAGGGGGCGAGCGUUAUUCGGAAUUAUUGGGCGUAAAGCGCUCGUAGGCGGGAUUGCAAGUCCGUGUUGAAAGACCUCGGCUCAACUGAGGGACCGGCUCGGAUACUGUGAUUCUUGAGGCAAUCAGAGGGUGAUGGAAUUCCCGGUGUAGCGGUGAAAUGCGCAGAUAUCGGGAGGAACACCGGUGGCGAAGGCGGUUCUCUGGGCCUUACCUGACGCUGAGGAGCGAAAGCGUGGGGAGCGAACAGG
rnacentral:rRNA from 1 species